ACAUUUUUUGACGUUUUUCCUGUUUUGGGGGGGGACUUUUCAGGGCUUAAAUAUCACAGAAAACACCUCAGAAGGACUAAAAACAACCAAAAAAAAAGGGAUUUACGUGGAAACCCGGCUCAGAGAUUUUCCCACAGGCUCCAGUGGAUCCAUGAUGCCACUGCUCCAGAUCUUCCUCCUCUUACUUGGCCUUGGAAUUCUGGGAAUUCUGGGAAUUCCAGUAGUGGAAGUGCCAGGAAGGAGCCUCCUGGAUGCCCUCA